CUGAGAGGAUGAUCAGCCAUACUGGGACUGAGACACGGCCCAGACUCCUACGGGAGGCAGCAGUAGGGAAUAUUGGACAAUGGGGGAAACCCUGAUCCAGCAAUGCCGCGUGAGUGAUGAAGGCCUUAGGGUUGUAAAGCUCUUUUACCCGGGAUGAUAAUGACAGUACCGGGAGAAUAAGCUCCGGCUAACUCCGUGCCAGCAGCCGCGGUAAUACGGAGGGAGCUAGCGUUGUUCGGAAUUACUGGGCGUAAAGCGCACGUAGGCGGCUAUUCAAGUCAGAGGUGAAAGCCCGGGGCUCAACCCCGGAACUGCCUUUGAAACUAGAUAGCNUUGAAUUCCAGGAGAGGUGAGUGGAAUUCCGAGGUAGAGUGAAAUUCGUAGAUAUUCGGAAGACACCAGUGGCGAAGCGGCUCACUGGACUG
rnacentral:rRNA from 1 species